UACGGGGGGGGCAAGCGUUGUUCGGAAUUACUGGGCGUAAAGGGCUCGUAGGCGGCCAACUAAGUCAGACGUGAAAUCCCUCGGCUUAACCGGGGAACUGCGUCUGAUACUGGUUGGCUUGAAUCCGGGAGAGGGAUGUGGAAUUCCAGGUGUAGCGGUGAAAUGCGUAGAUAUCAGGAGGAACACCGAUGGCGAAGGCAGGUCUCUGGGCCAUAACUGACGCUGAGAAGCGAAAGCAUGGGGAGCGAACAGG
rnacentral:rRNA from 1 species